AGCAUAUCAAUAAGCGGAGGAAAAGAAACCAACAGGGAUUGCCUCAGUAACGGCGAGUGAAGCGGCAACAGCUCAAAUUUGAAAUCUGGCCUCUUUAGGGGUCCGAGUUGUAAUUUGUAGAGGAUGUUUCGGGUACCGCUCCGGUUUAAAUUUCUUGGAACAGAAUGUCAAAGAGGGUGAGAAUCCCGUCUUGGACCGGCGGUAGGGCCCAUGUGAAACUCCUUCGACGAGUCGAGUUGUUUGGGAAUGCAGCUCAAAAUGGGUGGUAAAUUUCAUCUAAAGCUAAAUAUUGGCCAGAGACCGAUAGCGCACAAGUAGAGUGAUCGAAAGAUGAAAAGCACUUUGAAAAGAGAGUUAAACAGUAUGUGAAAUUGUUGAAAGGGAAGCGCUUGCAACCAGACUUGAGCGCGGCGGUUCCCCCUUCCUUCUGGUUGGGCUACUCCGUCGCGUCCAGGCCAACAUCGGUUCUGGGGGUCGGUCAAAGGCUCGGGGAAUGUAUCUACCCUUCGGGCGUAGACUUAUAGCCCCGAGUGUCAUGCGACCUCCCGGGACCGAGGAACGCGCUUCGGCUCGGAUGUUGGCGUAAUGGUUGUCAGCGACCCGUCUUGAAACACGGACCAAGGAGUCUAACAUCUAUGCGAGUGUUUGGGUGUCAAACCCGGAACGCGGAAUGAAAGUGAACGGAGGUAGGAAGCUUCGGCUGCACUAUCGACCGAUCCUGAUGUCUUCGGAUGGAUUUGAGUAAGAGCAUAGCUGUUGGGACCCGAAAGAUGGUGAACUAUGCCUGAAUAGGGUGAAGCCAGAGGAAACUCUGGUGGAGGCUCGCAGCGGUUCUGACGUGCAAAUCGAUCGUCAAAUUUGGGUAUAGGGGCGAAAGACUAAUCGAACCAUCUGGUAGCUGGUUCUGC
rnacentral:rRNA from 1 species